AAAUUGAAGAGUUUGAUCAUGGCUCAGAUUGAACGCUGGCGGCAGGCCUAACACAUGCAAGUCGAGCGGUAGCACAGAGAGCUUGCUCUCGGGUGACGAGCGGCGGACGGGUGAGUAAUGUCUGGGAAACUGCCUGAUGGAGGGGGAUAACUACUGGAAACGGUAGCUAAUACCGCAUAACGUCGCAAGACCAAAGUGGGGGACCUUCGGGCCUCAUGCCAUCAGAUGUGCCCAGAUGGGAUUAGCUAGUAGGUGGGGUAACGGCUCACCUAGGCGACGAUCCCUAGCUGGUCUGAGAGGAUGACCAGCCACACUGGAACUGAGACACGGUCCAGACUCCUACGGGAGGCAGCAGUGGGGAAUAUUGCACAAUGGGCGCAAGCCUGAUGCAGCCAUGCCGCGUGUGUGAAGAAGGCCUUCGGGUUGUAAAGCACUUUCAGCGGGGAGGAAGGCGGUGAGGUUAAUAACCUCAUCGAUUGACGUUACCCGCAGAAGAAGCACCGGCUAACUCCGUGCCAGCAGCCGCGGUAAUACGGAGGGUGCAAGCGUUAAUCGGAAUUACUGGGCGUAAAGCGCACGCAGGCGGUCUGUCAAGUCGGAUGUGAAAUCCCCGGGCUCAACCUGGGAACUGCAUUCGAAACUGGCAGGCUAGAGUCUUGUAGAGGGGGGUAGAAUUCCAGGUGUAGCGGUGAAAUGCGUAGAGAUCUGGAGGAAUACCGGUGGCGAAGGCGGCCCCCUGGACAAAGACUGACGCUCAGGUGCGAAAGCGUGGGGAGCAAACAGGAUUAGAUACCCUGGUAGUCCACGCCGUAAACGAUGUCGAUUUGGAGGUUGUGCCCUUGAGGCGUGGCUUCCGGAGCUAACGCGUUAAAUCGACCGCCUGGGGAGUACGGCCGCAAGGUUAAAACUCAAAUGAAUUGACGGGGGCCCGCACAAGCGGUGGAGCAUGUGGUUUAAUUCGAUGCAACGCGAAGAACCUUACCUGGUCUUGACAUCCACAGAACUUAGCAGAGAUGCUUUGGUGCCUUCGGGAACUGUGAGACAGGUGCUGCAUGGCUGUCGUCAGCUCGUGUUGUGAAAUGUUGGGUUAAGUCCCGCAACGAGCGCAACCCUUAUCCUUUGUUGCCAGCGGUCCGGCCGGGAACUCAAAGGAGACUGCCAGUGAUAAACUGGAGGAAGGUGGGGAUGACGUCAAGUCAUCAUGGCCCUUACGACCAGGGCUACACACGUGCUACAAUGGCAUAUACAAAGAGAAGCGACCUCGCGAGAGCAAGCGGACCUCAUAAAGUAUGUCGUAGUCCGGAUUGGAGUCUGCAACUCGACUCCAUGAAGUCGGAAUCGCUAGUAAUCGUAGAUCAGAAUGCUACGGUGAAUACGUUCCCGGGCCUUGUACACACCGCCCGUCACACCAUGGGAGUGGGUUGCAAAAGAAGUAGGUAGCUUAACCUUCGGGAGGGCGCUUACCACUUUGUGAUUCAUGACUGGGGUGAAGUCGUAACAAGGUAACCGUAGGGGAACCUGCGGUUGGAUCACCUCCUUA
rnacentral:rRNA from 2 species